GGUUGUAUUUUAAUCUUUUCAAAAGUAACACACGGUUGUAAUGGAGAUUCCUAAUCGCAUCGCCAGUUUGCUCCGGCUCCACCAAACCAAUCGCCGAUCAUUGGACAAAAAAAAAUACCCACCAGAUCUCUGGCGUGCUCGGUAACAUAGAGUAAGAGCAAGUAAAAAAAACUGUUCCGGCGGCGGUUACAUCAACCGCUGUUGACGGUUAAGACAGAUCUCAGAAAGAAGGCGAAGAACACGACGACGUUCCACGCACCUUCAAACGCCAGAGACUAUCUGACGAAAUCGAUGAACAACAAGAGAGUAACCGCUGGUCAAAACCGUCAUCUCCAGCGACGGUGAAGCAGUCGGAGCGUCGCCGGACUGGUCACGGUUGGCGGUUUUAUGGAUUGAAUUUUCUGUUUUGUUCAGUUACUUAUGGCGGCAGUGAGCGCCGGAUUAAAUUAUCUGGAACCAAAAUGGUGUUAAUGAACUCCUGUUGUUGAAGAUCGCCGAUAAUUUUUUUUCGUGAAGAGUCCGUUCGUGCUGAUAACGUGAUAUGAACAAAAAGGAAUUCAAUAUUGAAAUUGCCAUCUUCUUCACCUAUGUUCAUGUUCCAUAUACAAGUGUAAACAAUACAUAUAGAUAAUAACUUCUGAAACGGUUAUUGUGUAACUGCCUAAAGCAGUUAUUAGGUGGAGUUAUAUCUGCUUUUAUAACAAAAUAUAAUUUUUGUAAUUUUAUUUAUUAUUAAAGAUUUAGAAAAUAGUGUUCUUUUCUUCCUAACAUUUUCAACCCUAGAAAUUUCCCUCCCAACCCAAUCCAAAAAUUUGAGCUCCCCCCAAAAUUUUCUAAAAGCAAACAAAUCCACAACCCUAGCUCUCAUCCCACAAGUUUGCAAAAUCACCGUUUCAAUUUUCUAAUCAAAUCACCCCCAAAAUGGAUCACCAAAUACUACUCGCACCAAAAGCACAAUGACGGAUCUGAAACCGAACGUCCAACCAUCAUCUUCUAUAUCUUCACAUGCUGCUGUAGUUCAAUCGUUCUCCGUUUAAAAUCAAUUCCAGUAAAAGAAUAAUCGACGGUGUUGAAUAAUGGUUCUGAUUCGAAGGUUUCGACAUCAAUACGGCUUCGAGCGACCUGAGGCGCCACAUUCACUAUGAAAUAGUCACCUUCAAUCGUACACUUCUUCUUCUUCUUCUUCUUCUUCUAUAUUUCGAUCUUCCCAGGGCACUGCUAGUGAAGCUGGCAAAGAACUCUGUCAUGAAAAGACGCUGAAUUUUGAAGAUUUUAGGGAGCUGAAUUUGAAGCCAAAUUCGGGAAGCUUGUUGAACUCGGGUUCAGCAGAGAUGCAGUUAUACAAGCUCUAAAGCUUUUUGAUGGUUGAUCCAAAAUUUGAUUUGGAUAUGAAUUAAGAUGAUGCGGAGGAAGACGAGUGUUGCAACUAUAGACGGGUCAAGCAUAUAUAUGUUGACAAGUAUGUGUUCAAGCCCUUUAUCUCGGUCUACUAGGAUGAACAUCUGUUAGAUGUGCAAAUUACCAUAGCAUGGGGUCUACAAGUAGCAUGAAUAAAACACUUGGGAGGAUUAUACAACAAUAAAACCGGUCACAAGUUACAAGUUUACUCCUCACCACAACAGCGGUAAUGUGGCCAUGAAACCAUGGAUGCAAAUUUGCAGCACUUUUAGGUCUAAAACAGUGAGUAGAUGGACUUGAAGAAAACAGUCUGGAAAUAGUUUCUAGUUUAUGUGUAAAGUCAUUUUUCGAUGUAAUAUUUGUAGAUAGGUUCUGAUUAGAAGUUAAUGUUUUUAAUUAGUAUUAGGAUUUAAAUUGAAAACUUAUGUAUGGAUUUUGGGUUAUUAUUGUUAAUAUCAUUUGGUUU
rnacentral:lncRNA from 1 species